GGCCUAACACAUGCAAGUCGAGGGGUAGAGUUAGCUUGCUAACUUGAGACCGGCGCACGGGUGCGUAACGCGUAUGCAACCUACCUUUAUCUGGGGGAUAGCCCGAAGAAAUUCGGAUUAACACCGCAUAAAAUCACAGUAUCGCAUGAUACAAUGAUCAAAUAUUUAUAGGAUAAAGAUGGGCAUGCGUGUCAUUAGUUAGUUGGCGGGGUAACGGCCCACCAAGACCACGAUGACUAGGGGAUCUGAGAGGAUGACCCCCCACACUGGUACUGAGACACGGACCAGACUCCUACGGGAGGCAGCAGUAAGGAAUAUUGGUCAAUGGAGGCAACUCUGAACCAGCCAUGCCGCGUGCAGGAAGACGGCCCUCUGGGUUGUAAACUGCUUUUAUUCGGGAAUAAACCUAUCUACGUGUAGAUAGCUGAAUGUACCGAAGGAAUAAGGAUC
rnacentral:rRNA from 1 species